GACGAACGCUGGCGGCGUGCUUAACACAUGCAAGUCGAACGGAAAGGCCCUGCUUUUGUGGGGUUCUCGAGUGGCGAACGGGUGAGUAACACGUGAGUAACCUGCCCUUGACUUUGGGAUAACUUCAGGAAACUGGGGCUAAUACCGGAUAGGAUCUCCUGCUGCAUGGUGGGGUUUGGAAAGUUUCGGCGGUUGGGGAUGGACUCGCGGCUUAUCAGCUUGUUGGUGGGGUAGUGGCUUACCAAGGCUUUGACGGGUAGCCGGCCUGAGAGGGUGACCGGCGACAUUGGGACUGAGAUACGGCCCAGACUGCUACGGGAGGCAGCAGUGGGGAAUAUUGCACAAUGGGCGGAAGCCUGAUGCAGCAACGCCGCGUGCGGGAUGACGGCCUUCGGGUUGUAAACAGCUUUCGCCUGUGACGAAGAGUGAGUGACGGUAAUGGGUAAAGAAGCACCGGCUAACUACGUG
rnacentral:rRNA from 1 species